GAAUCAGGCUCCUCUGUCGUGUGGCCUUUUGUUUCCUGGCUGUAGGCCUCGUAGAUGUGAAAGUAACCCAGAGCUCGAGAUAUCUAGUCAAAAGGACGGGAGAGAAAGUUUUUCUGGAAUGUGUCCAGGAUAUGGACCAUGAAAAUAUGUUCUGGUAUCGACAAGACCCAGGUUCUCCGAUCAAUCAUAUUUUGCUGGAAAAAAUUCUGAUCACAGAAGGUUUAAA
rnacentral:lncRNA from 1 species